GACGAACGCUGGCGGCGUGCUUAACACAUGCAAGUCGAACGAAGAGCGAUGGAAGCUUGCUUCUAUCAAUCUUAGUGGCGAACGGGUGAGUAACGCGUAAUCAACCUGCCCUUCAGAGGGGGACAACAGUUGGAAACGACUGCUAAUACCGCAUACGAUCUAAUCUCGGCAUCGAGGAUAGAUAAAAGGUGGCCUCUACAUGUAAGCUAUCAUUGCAGGAGGGGAUUGCGUCUGAUUAGCUAGUUGGAGGGGUAACGGCCCACCAAGGCGAUGAUCAGUAGCCGGUCUGAGAGGAUGAACGGCCACAUUGGGACUGAGACACGGCCCAGACUCCUACGGGAGGCAGCAGUGGGGAAUCUUCCGCAAUGGACGAAAGUCUGACGGAGCAACGCCGCGUGAGGGAUGACGGCCUUCGGGUUGUAAAGCUCUGUUAAUCGGGACGAAAGGCCUUCUUGCGAACAGUUAGAAGGAUUGACGGUACCGGAAUAGAAAGCCACGGCUAACUACGUG
rnacentral:rRNA from 1 species